GCCUCAUUAGCGCAGUAGGCAGCGUGUCAGUCUCAUAAUCUGAAGGUCGUGAGUUCGAUCCUCACACGAGGCA
rnacentral:tRNA from 1 species